CAGGUACUGCUGGAACUGGACAAUGGCCUCAAGAUCAUUCUGCCGUCUAGCAGCUCGAGCCUGGAGAGACUCCAUAUUCUCAUUCAAACUCUUAACCUUUGAGGCCACAUCUUCUGCAGCAAAGUGUCCUAUGGAGUGGUUGGAAAAUAAUUCUUUAGGUCAUCUGAGUCCUGAUACAUCUGCUGCAGAAGCAAAGACUCCUUCAGCAAUCUGCGUCGAACAGCAGCUCUUUCACGUAGGACAUCCCGCCGAACCAACAGCUGCAAAAACCAUGAACAAACUCACUGUCAGCAAAACCAAAUAUGGACAAAUGAGAUUUACCACCCACCUUUAUCACCGUCAACCCAACAGUUUCUAUGACCCCAGUGCACAGUAAAGGCUUCCUCGAAGUCAUCAUGCUUCUGAAGAAGGGCUUCUACACUGCCCAAGGAGUUUCCCAGGUCCUCGUUUUCCAGGAAAGCCUAUAGAAGACAGAAACAUAUAUCUCAGCUGUGCAUCAAUGGUGAGAAACAUUCCCUUUGGAAUAUCUCUGAGACAAGGACUACAAAAAGAGGUCAUCUGCAUCUCGUCUGAAAACCUGGUAGUGAUAAGACUCUUCAAGCUUCUGACCCCUCUCAGCAACCAGCUCCUUGAACCUCUGGUACCGAUUUAACACCUCGCGACGCCUCUCCUGGAUCUCCUCU